rnacentral:hammerhead_ribozyme from 1 species
AUCCAGCUGACGAGCCCCAAAAAGGACAAAACGCGCGUCAAAUUGGAU